rnacentral:piRNA from 1 species
UGGCAUCUUGUUCCUCCAGUGACUU